rnacentral:rRNA from 1 species
CACCGCGGUUAUACGAAAGACCCUAGUUGAUAGCUACGGCGUAAAGGGUGGUUAAGGAGUACAAAAAUAAAGCUAAAGACCCUCUAAGCCGUCAUACGCACCCCGAGGACACGAAACCCUGACACGAAAGUAGCUUUAAACAAAAUUUACCUGACCCCACGAAAGCUAAGAAA